CACAGCAAAUUUUUUACAUAGAACUAUUUAUGACCUUGUCCUGUAUUCUUGAAUCUUCUCAGUAUGCCCCAGACAACUGAGGAAAUCGCAGAGACUUCAAAGAUGCAGAAACUAAGUCUGGUGAUGCACUUUGCCUAAGGUUUGUUAAACAACGUGACAAAUGGAUGGCAAUAGAAACACCAGGAUUUAGCAUCUCAGCAACACGAAAUGUCUCUUCCCACCUACCAGUGUGUGCUGCACUGCAAGGCUUCUAGACCCUCUUACCCAAGUGAUACUGGACCCAGCUACUUUUGUACACACGGUGCAGAGUGCAGGUGGAUGACACGUCUUGGUGUAGCUAGCAAGGCUCAAGAAAAGCUGCAAUUUCCAUAGUCU
rnacentral:lncRNA from 1 species